ensembl:lncRNA
UCAUUUUGCCAACUUUGUUUUUUUUUAAAUAGCAUUUAUUGUGAAAUGCUAACCAUUCCUCAAGUGUUAUUUUGCCAAUUAAAGCUGCAGACCGAGGAAGAAUCCAGAUCUUCAUCUACGUUUACAGCCAUGAGCAGUUUACUGACUGCAGGAUUUCUGUGUAUUGUCACGUGGUCACAAUUUAUAGGACGUGUUCAUGUUUGCUGUCCUCAGCGACAGUUACAGAGAUGUUUUCAUGUUCUGGUCAACAAAACGUUUAAAAUGCUUUUUAAAUGUGUCGUCUUUAUAUUAGGAGCUGAAACCGGUCAAUCGAACAGUGUGAUUGGAAAUUUAUUGAUAAGUAAUUUUUUUGGGACAAAGUUAGAUUGUCAUGUUGGAGCUUCUCCAGGAUUUUAAAAUAUCUCGUCUCCUUUAAGAGGAAAGAUGUUCACAAAGGAAAUCUCUUUAAAAUGUAUAUUAUUAUAAAAUGACACUAAUCGUUCUUCAGCUGAUUGUUCUCUUUCCAACAAAGUUUUAAUGUGCUUAAUUACAGCACAAGUCCUAAAAACACAAACGAAUUACAGUUAAAAUCGUAUAAAACAAACUUUUGGAACUAGAAAAAAACGUCUAGCAGCAAAAGUUUCAAUCUUUAUCGAUUUAUCGUUUCAGCUCCACAUUUUUCACUUUUUCUACAUUUUUAUUUCAUUUUCUCAGACUGCUCUGUGCUGUGUUCAAGGACAGUUUUACAUUUAAAAACUGAAGGUUCACUCUGUUUGAAAGUGCAAAGUUACCGAUUUCAAGAGUGGAGGGCAAACAAAAUGUUUCUGUUCGAUUCCUCACAUUUCCUCCUGCAGCUUUAAACUUUCAGAAAAAAAAAAAGAAAAAUCCCCGGGAGCGUUUGAGGCCGUCAGCGUGAUGAGGAUGAAGAGAAGGAGGCAGAGUCGACUGCUGUUUGUGUGCAGAGCAGGAUGAAGGCUGUGUGUAUGUCAAAGGAGGGCGAAGUGAAAAUGUUCAGGUCGAGUGUUUCAGGAGCG